rnacentral:misc_RNA from 1 species
CUUCUGCAAAUCAGCCACUGUUGAAUGCUACAACUUGGUCUUUACAAUCUCAUUCUAUGUCCUCAGCCAAAGCUACACCAGAAAGCAAUGUAUUAAAUCAUGACUCUGCUAAAGCUGAGGGAAAUACUGAUUUGGGUUUGUCACGGGCUGCUUCUCAAGCUGCAAGAGAUCAAGCAUUCAGACCAUUUAUUCCUCAAAGUACAGCUGCAAAUUUGCCUGGUGUACAUCAACCUGUGCAAGGUGUGAAGGUUGUCCAAACCUCAUCAUUUUUCAAUAACCACAAUGAAAUUGCUAAAAUUAUUCAGAAGCUGCUGCAACCAAAACUUCCUGAACAUCCCACGUGGACUCCACCUUCUAGGGAAUAUAUGAAUAAGCCUUUGACUUGCCAGAUGUGCAAAGUCACUGUCAAUGAGGUGGAAACCAUAGUCCUUUGUGAUGCUUGUGAGAAAGGAUUUCA